rnacentral:rRNA from 1 species
CUACGGGAGGCAGCAGUAGGGAAUCUUCCGCAAUGGGCGAAAGCCUGACGGAGCAACGCCGCGUGAGUGAUGAAGGUCUUCGGAUCGUAAAACUCUGUUAUUAGGGAAGAACAUAUGUGUAAGUAACUGUGCACAUCUUGACGGUACCUAAUCAAAAAGCCACGGCUAACUACGUGCCAGCAGCCGCGGUAAUACGUAGGUGGCAAGCGUUAUCCGGAAUUACUGGGCGUAAAGCGCGCGUAGGCGGUUUGUUAAGUCUGAUGUGAAAUCCCACGGCUCAACCGGGGAGGGUCAUUGGAAACUGGAAAACUUGAGUGCAGAAGAGGAAGGUGGAAUUCCAUGUGUAGCGGUGAAAUGCGCAGAGAUAUGGAGGAACACCAGUGGCGAAGGCGACUUUCUGGUCUGUAACUGACGCUGAUGUGCGAAAGCGUGGGGAUCAAACAGGAUUAGAUACCCUGGUAGUCC